GCGCGCAUAGCUCAGGGGCAGAGCGCGUCGUUGACAUCGACGAGGUCCAAGGUUCAAUUCCUUGUGCGCGCA
rnacentral:tRNA from 1 species